AUGACAGUAUCAGCAAUGUUCUUCAACCCUGAGGCAGUGAAGCCGAUUUCAAGACUGCUUGACAAUGUCAUAGUGCCUGACAAGACUAUAACUGAAGCCGACAUUCGGAAGAGGCCGCUGUGGCACACGUACCCGGGUCCAAGGCCAAGGCCGCCGCAUGUCACCCACAGACCAGAGACCCAGUGGAGGGCGAGCACGCCGGCGACGCCGAGAGAAGAGCACAAGCUCGCCGGGGAGGGGUGGCUGGGACGGGGGAGAGGAAGCGCCGCCGCUGCUACCGCCGAUACACAGCAGAUCGGGCCGAGCGGCUAUGGGAGAGGUUCCCAGGGUGUGCAAAUGGCGCAGAGCCGAGGCGGCCGGUUCGACGGCGGUGAUGAGUGGGCAGGAGGAGGCGGCGGCGGCGGCGGCACGGUGAAGAGGCCGGAGACGGAGGCGCGGCCCGUUGGGUUGUGGGCGAGAGGAGGCGGCCGUCGCGGGAGCGGGCCAGCCCGCGCGCGGUAG
rnacentral:rRNA from 1 species